rnacentral:rRNA from 1 species
GUGGAAUGUGUAGAUAUAUUCAAGAACACCAGAGGCGAAGGCGAAAACCGGGGCCGAUAUUGACGCUUAGGCUUGAAAGUGUGGGGAGCAAAUGGGAUUAGAUACCCCAGUAGUCCACACCGUAAACGAUGGAUAUUAGAUGUUGGGGCUUGUGCCUCAGCGUUGGAGCUUACGUAUUAAAUAUCCCGCCUGGGUAGUACAUAUGCAAAUAUGAAACUCAAAGGAAUUGACGGGGACCUGAACAAGUGGUGGAACAUGUUGCUUAAUUCGAUAAUACACGAAAAACCUUACCAAGAUUUGACAUCCCCCGCGAAGCCACAGAAAUGUGGUCAUAGGUUAUCGGGGUGACAGGUGGUGCAUGGUUGUCGUCAGCUCGUGUCAUGAGAUGUUUGGUUAAGUCCCGCAACGAGCGCAACCCUACUCUUUAGUUAGUUGUCUAGAGAGACUGAACAGUAAUGUAUAGGAAG